UCCACCACGUUGACUUUGUCCCUUCCCCAUCUUCCAUUUUCUCUCUAAAUUUUGCUUCACCGGAGGAACUCAUCGUAUCUCAAAAUUACAGCGGAUGGAGUGGAAGAACAAUGAAGAAUCUGAUUGUACACGUCGGAGUUGAUAAACCUAGCUUGGUUGGUGAGGUGGAGGAUAGUAAUUGGUAAUGGUAAAUUGUUGAGGCGGCGAAGGUGGUUGAACAAUGGGCGCAUGACCGUGAAGCAAGCGCGCCUUGGAGUGGGGAUCUACGGUGGUGAUGUCGAAAAUACUGGACUUGGCCCUGCCACUCUUUCCAUUUUUCUGUCUUAAAUUAGGGUUAGGGUUUUGGUGAUAGUCAUAGUACUUUUGGGCAUGGCUUGCCACCUGUGUGGAAGUUUUUGUGAUCACCAAUUUUGUUGCAAUAUCUUUCCAAUUUCCUUUUCCAUA